rnacentral:lncRNA from 1 species
ACCAAUGAUGAGUACCAUGGGGUAUCUGAAACAGGAUUUUUGAUUAAACCCAUAUGCAAUUCUGAGGUCCAUUACAAAGAGACACGUAUUAUUCCUUUUUUGGGAAGUGAGCCUAUGGUACCUUUUCCUUGGACUUUGUGGUUCUUGGGGAUGGAUUGCAUUUUUGUUAUAAAAUCAGCCCAUGAAUUAAAAAUUUAUCAAUGAGUAAAACAUAAAGCAUAAGUCAUGUACUUAUUAUCAGUGACUGUAAUGAAACAUGGAUUAUUAUUAAAACUUAUCUGAGACUCCCAAUAAAUUAAUACCCAAGGCUUCUACCAUUCUGGUAAGGAGCAUAUGGUCAUUUGUAUGCAAGAGUCAGUUUUUGUUCUGUGUUGGUGGUGGGUUGCUGACUAUUUUAUGAAGAAAAUGAAGCAUCUUUAAUCAUAUAAAUAGUUGGUUAAAUAACCACUUAAUUGAGACCAAGCAGAGACCAAUGAUGAGUGUAUUAAUCUAUUUUUUAAUGGAUUUUUAUUAAACAAAUAAUAAAAGAAACACAGUCUAUUCUUCCUGAGGGCAAUAACUCUAGACAGAUGUAAAUAUUCUUCAGUGUUCUUGUCCAGUGCUGUGAGAUCACAGAUACUGAUGUCUUUUGUAUAUGAGAAGGAACUUGCAUUUUUAUGUCUCAGUUUAUAUUUUAGAGUCAGCAAACCAUGGACCAAUUAGGAACAAAUGUUAUGAUAUGAGAAUGCUGAUUCUUGUUUUUUUUUUUCAUGAUAGACAUUCUAAGAAAAACUCUAGGCUCUCUCAUUGUUUUUGGAAUACAUACAUGGUUCUUUCCAAGUAGUUUCUUAGAAAAAUGUUUUUAAAAAGAGGCUUUUAAAAAGAGCCUUUUAAAAUGUUUUUAAAAGAAGGCUUUAUUUUUCUCUAUAGAAUGAAAACCAUGUAGCUGGUCUUAUUAUUCUCUAAUCAUGAAGACCAUUAUUGUUAUUUGUGGACUAAGGAGCAGAAAGACUGAUAGUGGACAUAGGCCAGCUGAUUUAAUAAUUUAAGAAAGAACUGUUAUCCUGAGUAAGGAGCAUAGAGACAAAUAUAAAAUGAACGCACUCUACCUGAUUUAAUUAUAGUCUUCUGGUGAAGAUCUUGCUGUUAUCUCUGUGAAUCAGGAGAGAAGAGAUUGAUAAGGAAUAGACGAGAUUGGAUUUGGUCAUUUCCCCAAGGUGAAGAGCAUGGCGAUUUCUUCUGUGGUAAGGAGCAAUAAUGAAGACCAUGGUUGAUUUAAUCAGUCUCUGCUGAUGAAGAUCUUGGCUGUUACCUUUGUGUAAUGAAUGCGCAAUGAUUCAAUUAUUCUCCAGCGAGGAAGAUCAUGGUUGUUGUCUGUUUGAGUAAUGAGUGUAGAAACCUAUAAUGGAGGCGUGAUGGCUGAUGCAAUCAUUUUCCACUGAUGAAGGUUUUGAUGGCCACCUGUAAUGAACAGCCCCAUCUGAUUUAAUCACUGUGCAAUGACCGUGAACUGUACAGUUACCUCCGUGUGUCACAGGAAGACUCUUUUGACUUAAGCACCCUUCCAUGGUCAUGAGGUUUCUGGUUGCCUCUGUGUGUUAGAAGCUUGGAGACCAAUGCCUUCUGCUGUGAUCGCGUUCUCCACAGUUGCCUCUGGGUAGGAGCCUGGACACUAAUAGAAAAUGGAUGCACUUGAGCCGACCUAAGCAUUCAUGGUCAUGAGAUUUGUGGUUGCCACUGUUGGUUAGGAGCAUAGAGAUCAGUAAUGGACACACCUGGGCUGGCAGAACAUCUUGCCUUGAUCUGGAGCCCCAUGUCUGCCCCUCUGUAGAGGUGCACAUGGGCCAAUGAUGGAUGCAAUGAGCUGAUCAUUUUGCUGUGAUCAAGGCUAUGUUGCCUCUGUGUUAGGCCAAUGGUUGAUGUUCAUGGGUGAUUGAUCAUCCUGUAGCGACGGUGGUAUUGACUGUUCCCCAGAGGACAAGGAGUGUGUUCUUAUAAUGGACAUCAUGAUUGGGAUUGUCUUUAUUAAACUUUGUCAGGAGAGUAAAGAUCAAUGUGGCCACAUGUUGUGGCUCAUGCCUGUAAUCCCAACACUGUAAUCCCAGCACUGUAAUCCCAGCCUGUAAUCCCAGGCUGAGGUGGGCGGAUCACCUGAGGUUGGGAGUUCGAGACCAGCCUGACCAACAUGGAGAAACCCCGUCUCUACUAA